UACGUAGGGUGCAAGCGUUGUCCGGAAUUAUUGGGCGUAAAGAGCUCGUAGGCGGUUUGUCGCGUCGGCCGUGAAAACUUGGGGCUUAACCCCAAGCCUGCGGUCGAUACGGGCAGACUUGAGUUCGGCAGGGGAGACUGGAAUUCCUGGUGUAGCGGUGAAAUGCGCAGAUAUCAGGAGGAACACCGGUGGCGAAGGCGGGUCUCUGGGCCGAUACUGACGCUGAGACGCGAAAGCGUGGGGAGCGAACAGG
rnacentral:rRNA from 1 species